CCUACGGGUGGCAGCAGUGAGGAAUAUUGGUCAAUGGGCGCGAGCCUGAACCAGCCAAGUCGCGUGAGGGAUGAAGGUACAGAGUAUCGUAAACCUCUUUUGUCAGGGAACAAAGGCGGGGACGCGUCCCCGGAUGAGUGUACCUGAAGAAAAAGCAUCGGCUAACUCCGUGCCAGCAGCCGCGGUAAUACGGAGGAUGCGAGCGUUAUCCGGAUUUAUUGGGUUUAAAGGGUGCGCAGGCGGUCUGUUAAGUCAGCGGUCAAAGCCCGGGGCUCAACCCCGGCCCGCCGUUGAAACUGGCAGUCUCGAGUUGGAGAGAAGUAUGCGGAAUGCGCGGUGUAGCGGUGCAAUGCAUAGAUAUCGCGCAGAACUCCGAUUGCGAAGGCAGCAUGCCGGCUCCACACUGACGCUGAGGCACGAAAGCGUGGGUAUCGAACAGGAUUAGAUACCCGGGUAGUC
rnacentral:rRNA from 1 species